rnacentral:rRNA from 1 species
GACAGAGGCCUCAAGCGUUAGGCGGAAUCACUGGGCUUAAAGCGUGUGUAGGCGGAUCGUUAAGUGUCUUGUGAAAUCCCACGGCUCACCCGUGGAACUGCUGGGCAUACUGGCGAUCUUGGGCCAACUAGGGGCAGCCGGAACAAGCGGUGGAGCGGUGAAAUGCGUAGAGAUGUGGAGGAACACCGAUGGCGAAGGCAGCCUCCUGGGCCAGCACUGACGCUCAUGCACGAAAGCGUGGGGAGCAAACAGG